AUUGAACGCUGGCGGCAUGCCUUACACAUGCAAGUCGAACGGCAGCACGGGUGCUUGCACCUGGUGGCGAGUGGCGAACGGGUGAGUAAUACAUCGGAACGUACCUUAUCGUGGGGGAUAACGCAGCGAAAGCUGUGCUAAUACCGCAUAAGCCCUGAGGGGGAAAGCGGGGGAUCGAAAGACCUCGCGCGAUUAGAGCGGCCGAUGCCUGAUUAGCUUGUUGGUGGGGUAAAAGCCCACCAAGGCGACGAUCAGUAGCUGGUCUGAGAGGACGAUCAGCCACACUGGGACUGAGACACGGCCCAGACUCCUACGGGAGGCAGCAGUGGGGAAUUUUGGACAAUGGGGGCAACCCUGAUCCAGCAAUGCCGCGUGAGUGAAGAAGGCCUUCGGGUUGUAAAGCUCUUUUGUCAGGGAAGAAACACCGGCUCUAACACAGUCCGGGAAUGACGGUACCUGAGGAAUAAGCACCGGCUAACUACGUGCCAGCAGCCGCUGUAA
rnacentral:rRNA from 1 species